GACGAACGCUGGCGGCGUGCCUAAUACAUGCAAGUAGAACGCACAGUUUAUACCGUAGCUUGCUACACCAUAGACUGUGAGUUGCGAACGGGUGAGUAACGCGUAGGUAACCUGCCUGGUAGCGGGGGAUAACUAUUGGAAACGAUAGCUAAUACCGCAUAAUAUUAAUUAUUGCAUGAUAAUUAAUUGAAAGGUGCAAUUGCACCACUACCAGAUGGACCUGCGUUGUAUUAGCUAGUAGGUGAGGUAACGGCUCACCUAGGCGACGAUACAUAGCCGACCUGAGAGGGUGGUCGGCCACGCUGGGACUGUGACACGGCCCAGACUCCUACGGGAGGCAGCAGUAGGGCAUCUUCGGCAAUGGGCGAAAGUCUGACCGAGAAACGCCGCGUGAGUGAAGAAGGUUGUCGGAUCGUAAAGCUCUGUUGUAAGAGAAGAACGGGUGUGAGAGUGGAAAGUUCACACUGUGACGGUAUCUUACCAGAAAGGGACGGCUAACUACGUG
rnacentral:rRNA from 1 species